rnacentral:lncRNA from 1 species
GUUAGUACAAUGACAAUGGGAUUUAAUACCAUAUUUUUCCCUAAGAGUGUGCAUGGCAUCUAGAAGAUCUGUCAAAACAGAACCAGGUAUAAUUUGGGUUGGCAUUAAAUGUUUGUGAUCAUGAGGCUGUCCCUUCACACACUUCAUCCAAGCAUAUAGUUCUUUAUCUCUAGAACUCUUCCUUUCCUUUGCCUUGUAACAAUCUAAGCAGACCACAAAUCCACAUUUUUGGCAGACCCAGUGAAUGUUAAACAAUGUUGCUUCACAUGCAUCACACAUCUCCCGGAC